rnacentral:sRNA from 1 species
CUUCUGGGAAUGGAGGUAAUUUAUGGUUCAGUUCUAGAUACUGAAUUUCUGAUUCAUAAGGUGUAUGCCCCGGGAAUUCCACUCACACUGCUGAGUUGUUCUCAACGGUGGCUGUGGCCGGCCACACCUCUGCCAGCAGUGUAUAGGAAUUCCCAAGGCCCACAUCCUUGCCAACAGGCGUUCAUUUCUUAGCUCUGGAAAUAGCUUCUUAAAUCAGGGGUAGAGUGGGGGAAGGCGGGAGAUUAAUUUUUACUCUAAUUAACUAUAUUACAAAUCAUUGAAAAAGUUGGCUAAAUCAGUGUAACUUUAUUUUUCUCCAUGUCCUGACCAUUAGGUAGUUGAAUUCAGUGAAUUGGACAAACCCAGAGUCCAUUUUUUACGAAAAGUAUUAAGUAUCCUAUUAAUGGAAACGGAAGUUGAAGACCUCAGUUUAAUUUUCACAAGAGUAUCUGACAACCCAAAGCUGGGGAUGUUACGUGAGGGUUUGAAGCUUUUCAUCAGCCACUUCUUGCUAAAGAAUGCACAGGCCCACAGAAGCGCCGACGAAGCCAACGUGCUGAGAGAGAAAGCUGACCUUGCAACGAAGUGUCUGCAAGGAAAAGCUUCCCUGAGAAUGUAGUCAGGGAAGGAAGGAGGGCAGGUGGCCCUUUGACUGUAAAAUAUCCUUUGUAAACCCAAAGGCUUAUUCUGUUGCCUGCGUGUGAAUGUUUGGUAGAGCUAUAUCAUUGUCUGUUAAUGUAUUAUAUUUUGAGAUUUUUUUUGAUCUAAGGUUUUAUUGUUUGUAUUUCAAGCCAUUUUCAAAUAACUGUAUCUUGGGGGUGAGAGGAGAAGGAGGGAGGGAAAAAGGGUCAGGCACACUGGACAGGGUUCUCUAAGCAGUGAGGCUGGUGUGUAUGAUUGUCUUAAAAUUUUUUAAUAGAUAUGGCCGAGCGUGAUGGCUCACCCCUGUAAUCCCAGCACUUCGUGAGGCCAAGGUGGGCAGAUCACUUGAGGCCAGGAAU